GGGUCAGUAGGUUGGUCGUGCCACCGGUACGUACUGGUCUCACUGAUUCCUCCUUCCUGAAGAACCGUAAUGACAUUAAUUUGGUGUUGCGGGGAAACAGGACUGUUACUUUGAACAAAUUAGAGUGUUUAAAGCAACCUAACGCUUGAAUACAUUAGCAUGGAAUAAUGAAAUAGGACGAUCGAUCCUAUUUUGUUGGUUUCUAGGAUUGACGUA
rnacentral:rRNA from 1 species